rnacentral:rRNA from 1 species
UACAGAGGGUGCGAGCGUUGUUCGGAAUUAUUGGGCGUAAAGGGCGCGUAGGCGGUGCCACAAGUCACUUGUGAAAUCCCCGGGCUUAACUCGGGGCCUGCAGGCGAAACUGUGGUGCUGGAGUAUGGGAGAGGUGCGUGGAAUUCCCGGUGUAGAGGUGAAAUUCGUAGGUAUCGGGAGGAACACCAGUGGCGAAGGCGGCGACCUGGGCCAAUAUUGACGCUGAGGUGCGAAAGCGUGGGGAGCAAACAGG